UGAUGGGAUAACAGUUGGAAACGACUGCUAAUACCGAAUACGCUCAUGAUGAACUUUAUGAGGAAAGGUGGCCUCUGCUUGCAAGCUAUCGCAUAGAGAUGAGUCCGCGUCCCAUUAGCUAGUUGGUGGGGUAACGGCCUACCAAGGCAACGAUGGGUAGCCGAUCUGAGAGGAUGAUCGGCCACACUGGAACUGAAACACGGUCCAG
rnacentral:rRNA from 1 species